rnacentral:rRNA from 1 species
AUGUGUGUACCCAAGAACCAAGAAGGAAUGGGUUUUCGGGAUAUCCAUUGUUUCAAUUUGGCUAUGCUUGCUAAACAGGCUUGGCGUCUUAUUGAGAAUCCGGAUUCUCUAUGUUCUACUAUUUUGAGAGUCAAAUACUAUCCUGACGGUGACUUGUUGAACUGCCUGAAGAAGGGUUCUUCCUUCACCUGGCAAAGUAUUAUGGCGGGUGUGAGCUCCUUGAAGCGUGGUCAUAUUUGACGAGUAGGAAAUGGGCAGAAUAUGGACAUUUGGGAGGACGCCUGGAUUCCAAAUUGUGCAAACCGUAAAAUUGUUACCCCUAAGGGAGGCCAGUUGUUACGGAAGGUAGCAGAUUUGAUUGAUCCAAUCCUAAAUAGUUGGGAUCUUCUCAGACAGACUCUAUGGCCUAUUGAUGUUCAGCGAGUGCUUGCGAUCCCGAUAUCGCAACAUGAUAUGUCAGAUUUCGUAGCUUGGAAUUUCACAAAAAAUGGGAUUUUUUCGGUUCGAUCUGCUUAUUUCGUGGAAUGGGACCACCAAUAUGGGAACAAGUUAUGA